CCCGGCCCCGGGCCGCCGCCCGCCGCGUACCGCCAGCACGGUGAGCAGCGUGGUCUUGCCCGAGUACUGCAGCCCCACCAGGGUUUAAAAAAUACUGUGAAGAUGGAUGGCCAGACAACUGGUGAACCCAAAGACAAAAAUAUUUCAUAAGUCUCCUUUCCUUAGAGAACAAAGGAUUUGAACUCACUAACAAAACCACCUGUCACAUGGAUGGACCCUUUGGACCCAUGUUGUAGCCUUGUUUCCAGCCGUGUCCCCAGUCCCAUCUCCUACUGCUCCUGAUUGAACACCCUGGAUGGCUCUGGACCUGGUUUGUCACUCAUCUCCUGUGGGGCUGUUGAUGGAUCCUGUCACCAGUACCCCGAGCUUUUUAUGUCUGGUUAGAAUAUCUGAAGCUUUGUGCUAAAAUGUGCUAAAAAUGAAAGGACUGUGCAUAUGCAAACAAAAUUUUAGUUUUAGUUAGCUUUAAGAAGCUAACUGACUUGAAAUGUUUUCUAAGUUUCUCCAUAGAGGAUCUGUGCAGUAGAACUACUCUUUCGUUUAAUUUAGCUUGUUACUGGAAGAGGUUGCCUCAAGUCUGUUUUUGUUUUCCUUGUAUUU